GAUGAACGCUGGCGGCGUGCUUAACACAUUCAAGUCGAACGAUGAAGCCCAGCUUGCUGGGUGGAUUAGUGGCGAACGGGUGAGUAACACGUGAGUAACCUGCCCUUAACUCUGGGAUAAGCCUGGGAAACUGGGUCUAAUACCGGAUAGGAGCGUCCACCGCAUGGUGGGUGUUGGAAAGAUUUAUCGGUUUUGGAUGGACUCGCGGCCUAUCAGCUUGUUGGUGAGGUAAUGGCUCACCAAGGCGACGACGGGUAGCCGGCCUGAGAGGGUGACCGGCCACACUGGGACUGAGACACGGCCCAGACUCCUACGGGAGGCAGCAGUGGGGAAUAUUGCACAAUGGGCGCAAGCCUGAUGCAGCGACGCCGCGUGAGGGAUGACGGCCUUCGGGUUGUAAACCUCUUUCAGUAGGGAAGAAGCGAAAGUGACGGUACCUGCAGAAGAAGCACCGGCUAACUACGUG
rnacentral:rRNA from 1 species